rnacentral:rRNA from 1 species
GAUGAACGCUGGCGGCGUGCCUAAUACAUGCAAGUCGAGCGAACAGACGAGGAGCUUGCUCCUCUGACGUUAGCGGCGGACGGGUGAGUAACACGUGGAUAACCUACCUAUAAGACUGGGAUAACUUCGGGAAACCGGAGCUAAUACCGGAUAAUAUAUUGAACCGCAUGGUUCAAUAGUGAAAGACGGUUUUGCUGUCACUUAUAGAUGGAUCCGCGCCGCAUUAGCUAGUUGGUAAGGUAACGGCUUACCAAGGCGACGAUGCGUAGACGACCUGAGAGGGUGAGCGGCAACACUGGAACUGAGACACGGUCCAGACUCCUACGGGAGGCAGCAGUAGGGAAUCUUCCGCAAUGGGCGAAAGCCUGACGGAGCAACGCCGCGUGAGUGAUGAAGGUCUUCGGAUCGUAAAACUCUGUUAUUAGGGAAGAACAAAUGUGUAAGUAACUAUGCACGUCUUGACGGUACCUAAUCAGAAAGCCACGGCUAACUACGUG